rnacentral:lncRNA from 1 species
UUGUCACAUUCACCAUUCUUUAUUUGCUUACCUAAUUUGCUUUGCUUUACUAGACUUUUCACUUUGAGAAUCUGGUUGUUGUUGGUUUUUAAUGAGAGUGGCUGAGGUUCAUGAAGUAGGAGUGAAGAAACAGAACUGCUUUCACUAUCACUACCAUCACUUAAGCUAACUCUGCAACUUCAGCUGCUCUCUUUAUUUACAGCUCUCUCCGUUUCAAAGUCAUUGUCAUUAUCCUCUCCCUCAUAUGAUUCUUCCUCAUUGUCAUCGGAAUGCAGAUUUUUCAUUAUAGAUCUUAAAGGACCUUGUUGCCUGGUCUGGGACAGUGUGAAACUGGAACUGGAGCUGGAGCUGGAACUGGCAGGAUUGGGUUGUUUGGAAUCAGAUGUAGAGGAUAUAUUCUCCUCCAUGUCUGAAUCAUUGGGAUCAACAAUAUCAUCAAAUGGCGUCUGUGAUCCAGCAGGGACAGAAAGAUUAAGAGUACCAGAACGGGAUAGAAUGAGAGAUGCUGCAAAAUGGAAAUCAAGCAGUCAAGCUGCAAAGAGAGGAGCAGAUCUGACUUCAAAUGACAGGAAAUUCAGUCAAUUAAUAGUACACUGUAUCCAGAG